UCAGGACCUGAGUUCUCAGACCAGCUCUACCUUACCGAGUUUCCUGGCAUGGUCCAUUGUUCCACACUAAACCGCUGAACUAUCUCUCAGCCCCUAAAGUUUUUAGCUUUUGGUUCUUUUUUGAGAAGCCCUAACAGUGGCUCCACUAGUUCAUACUCCCAACACAUGCUGCACACCACCCCAAGGAGCAGCCCGGUGAAGAAGAAGCCUACAGCAAUGGCAGCUGGGAAGGAAAAUGAUGUCUGCAGAGGUUCCUGGGAUCUGUAUGCUUCUUGGGAUGAUUUUUCUGGGAAAAUGAACACAAAGCCAUUGGUAGGAGAGGACACAAGCAGACUUCCACUUGGCUGACAGACACCACCCAGGAGUCAGCUGCAGACUGCAAACUGCUGAGCCCUGGACUGAGAGUUGAUGUAAGCCAGUCCAGCUGAUGUGAUCCAGUCCAGCUGAUGUGAUCCAGUCCAGCUGAUGUGAUUGCUCCGUGUCUCUUCAGCUGGGUCAGCUAAGCAAAGAUGCUUCUGAUGAGUUCCCCACUGCCCAGCCUCUGCUGAGCCAUUCAGCCUUCCUGGGCCCUGACAAUGAUGCCCUAAUUUCAACUGCAAUUAGUUAGAAAAUUGAACACGAUGUCCCUGGUCCCCUAAAAGGUUGAAAUGCCAAGUCAAAAGAAGACAUCCUGGCAUAGGGGACAAAAUGGCUACCUGUAAUGCCAACUGGCAUACCAGGAAAGUGGGCUCAGAUUUAUCAACAGGUAGAUUCAUUAAUUGAAACAGUUCUAC
ensembl:antisense Gm11775 predicted gene 11775